rnacentral:rRNA from 1 species
AGAUAAGGAGCUUGCUCCUUUGACGUUAGCGGCGGACGGGUGAGUAACACGUGGAUAACCUACCUAUAAGACUGGGAUAACUUCGGGAAACCGGAGCUAAUACCGGAUAACAUAUUGAACCGCAUGGUUCAAUAGUGAAAGGCGGCUUUGCUGUCACUUAUAGAUGGAUCCGCGCCGUAUUAGCUAGUUGGUAAGGUAACGGCUUACCAAGGCAACGAUACGUAGCCGACCUGAGAGGGUGAUCGGCCACACUGGAACUGAGACACGGUCCAGACUCCUACGGGAGGCAGCAGUAGGGAAUCUUCCGCAAUGGGCGAAAGCCUGACGGAGCAACGCCGCGUGAGUGAUGAAGGUCUUCGGAUCGUAAAACUCUGUUAUCAGGGAAGAACAAAUGUGUAAGUAACUGUGCACAUCUUGACGGUACCUGAUCAGAAAGCCACGGCUAACUACGUGCCAGCAGCCGCGGUAAUACGUAGGUGGCAAGCGUUAUCCGGAAUUAUUGGGCGUAAAGCGCGCGUAGGCGGUUUUUUAAGUCUGAUGUGAAAGCCCACGGCUCAACCGUGGAGGGUCAUUGGAAACUGGAAAACUUGAGUGCAGAAGAGGAAAGUGGAAUUCCAUGUGUAGCGGUGAAAUGCGCAGAGAUAUGGAGGAACACCAGUGGCGAAGGCGACUUUCUGGUCUGUAACUGACGCUGAUGUGCGAAAGCGUGGGGAUCAAACAGGAUUAGAUACCCUGGUAGUCCACGCCGUAAACGAUGAGUGCUAAGUGUUAGGGGGUUUCCGCCCCUUAGUGCUGCAGCUAACGCAUUAAGCACUCCGCCUGGGGAGUACGACCGCAAGGUUGAAACUCAAAGGAAUUGACGGGGACCCGCACAAGCGGUGGAGCAUGUGGUUUAAUUCGAAGCAACGCGAAGAACCUUACCAAAUCUUGACAUCCUUUGACUGCUCUAGAGAUAGAGUCUUCCCCUUCGGGGGACAAAGUGACAGGUGGUGCAUGGUUGUCGUCAGCUCGUGUCGUGAGAUGUUGGGUUAAGUCCCGCAACGAGCGCAACCCUUAAGCUUAGUUGCCAUCAUUAAGUUGGGCACUCUAAGUUGACUGCCGGUGACAAACCGGAGGAAGGUGGGGAUGACGUCAAAUCAUCAUGCCCCUUAUGAUUUGGGCUACACACGUGCUACAAUGGACAAUACAAAGGGCAGCUAAACCGCGAGGUCAAGCAAAUCCCAUAAAGUUGUUCUCAGUUCGGAUUGUAGUCUGCAACUCGACUACAUGAAGC